rnacentral:rRNA from 1 species
AUGGCGCUCUCCCGCCGCCGCCUCCUCCUCCUCUCCCUCGUUGCCAUGACGGCGGUCACUGGCACCUCCAAGGUCAUCGUGACAAGGUGCUACCCGCCGCCGACGCCCCACCCCAACGGCAGGGGCGCGUUCCACCGCAGUCUUCUCUCGCUCCUCGACGACCUCCCCUCCGCCGCCGCACCGACGGGCUUCGCCUCCAUGCGGACCCGCGGCGCGUUCGCCCGUGGCCUCUGCUUCGGCGACCCCGCGCCCGGCCCGUGCCUCCACUGCCUGUCCGACGCCGGCGGGAAGAUCGCCGACCAGUGCGGCAACGCGGGCUUCCUGAACGACGGCUGCUUCCUGGGCUACGCCGACACCAACGUUUCCUCCGACGGCAUCGACAUCGGUGCCCUCACCUUCUCCGACGACUCCGUCCCGGGCAUCGACGACAUCGACGUGCUGCACUUCUUGGCCGUGGCGCUGCCCCUGGUCCCGCAAUCCGCGAACGGCCGGGUGCCCGCCGCCGACGCGACUGCCACGGCGAGCAACGGCGACAAGGUGCGCGUGCUGGCACAGUGCGCGCCGGACCGCGCCCCGGCGGGGUGCGACCUGUGCCUGAGUGAUGCGGUGCUGCAGAUGGCCACGAGCUGGGGGCUCACCGCCGACGGCGUGCAAGGAAGCGUGGCCGCGGUUCUGGGCCCAGACUGCUACCUCCGUCUCGAGAUAUCGGCACCGCCGCUGAGAGAGAAGAUUCGGAGGAUCGUAAAGGAUCACAUCUUCCUGACUGUGUUCAUCUGCACCAUCGUCGUCGGAGCUAUCCUCGCGCUGGUAGCUCAUUUCUGCAGCCUGGUGAUGAGAAAGGCCGGGAAUUGA